rnacentral:rRNA from 1 species
AGCAGCCGCGGUAAUUCCAGCUCCAAUAGCGUAUAUUAAAGUUGUUGCAGUUAAAAAGCUCGUAGUUGAAUUUCGGGAUCAAUGCGUUGGUCGUGCUUUCGGGUACGCACUGGCGUCAUUGGUUUCUCCUUUCUGACGAGCCGUGAUGUCAUUAGUUUGGUGUUACGGGUAGUUAGGACUGUUACUUUGAAAAAAUUAGAGUGUUUAAAGCAGGCAUUAGCUUGAAUACAUUAGCAUGGAAUAAUGAAAUAGGACGUUCGAUCCUAUUUUGUUGGUUUCUAGGAUCAACGUAAUGAUUAAUAGGGAUAGUUGGGGGCAUUAGUAUUCAAUUGUCAGAGGUGAAAUUCUUGGAUUAUUGGAAGACUAACUACUGCGAAAGCAUUUGCCAAGGAUGUUUUCAUUAAUCAAGAACGAAAGUUAGGGGAUCGAAGACGAUCAGAUACCGUCGUAGUCUUAACCAUAAACUAUGCCGACUAGGGAUCGGAUGAUGUUAAUUUUUUAAUGACUCAUUCGGCGCCUU